ACGGAAGGCAGCAGUGGGGGAUAUUGCACAAUGGGGGAAACCCUGAUGCAGCGACGCCGCGUGAGUGAUGAAGUAUUUCGGUAUGUAAAGCUCUAUCAGCAGGAAAGAUAAUGACGGUACCUGACUAAGAAGCACCGGCUAAAUACGUGCCAGCAGCCGCGGUAAUACGUAUGGUGCAAGCGUUAUCCGGAUUUACUGGGUGUAAAGGGAGCGUAGACGGCAUGGCAAGCCAGAUGUGAAAGGUGGGGGCUCAACUCCCAAGCUGCAUUUGGAACUGUCAAGCUAGAGUAUCGGAGAGGUAAGUGGAAUUCCUAGUGUAGCGGUGAAAUGCGUAGAUAUUAGGAGGAACACCAGUGGCGAAGGCGGCUUACUGGACUGUAACUGACGUUGAGGCUCGAAAGCGUGGGGAGCAAACAGGAUUAGAUACCCUGGUA
rnacentral:rRNA from 1 species